rnacentral:misc_RNA from 1 species
GUGAAUCAUCGAAUCUUUGAACGCAAAUUGCACUCCCUGGUAUUCCGGGGAGUAUGCCUGUUUGAGGGUCGUUAGAAUAAAAAAUCGCUGCGUCGCGCUUUUUUUAAGGGCGUUCGCGUCGGAAUUGUGCCGUCUUUCAAAUGUUAAUUCUUAUCCAAGUGGCUUGAAAUUCAUCCAUCCGGUACGAAUGAAUCGUAUUUA